rnacentral:lncRNA from 1 species
AGUUGAACAUCUUAAGGGGUUAAGGCAUAUGGAAUCGUUCGACAGUCUAGUACAGCUCAAAAUGCAUCCCUCAAUGGGACACCCUAAGAGUCAAGUUAAAGAAACAGAUAAUUUGUUUUGGAAUCCCUGAUGUAGGCCAAAGGAAUAGGAUGAUUUUGUGUUGUAUCUUUAUGGUUACUCCACUCUCAUGUUCUGUUUUUCUUUUCCAGGAUUGUUCUGUGCUUCAUUAUUUUACUUCUGGCUGUUGAUUGUUCCAAGCUUAUUAAGAUUUGAUGACACAAGUUUUGCGGUGUUAUAAUAUUCUUACCUGCAAACUGUUAUGGCAAUUAGCAGGUCAAGGAGUUCUUUGAGUUGAAAUUUGGCGAUUCACCAUACAUUCAAAACUUGUAAGGAUUAGUAUGGAUGAAAUGGCAAAAUUUUAAUCACCAUAAAAAAGUUGAACAUCCCCUACCUUGGAAGGAGGAUGUUUUAACUGUCCUCCUUGCUGUAUAUAGGUAGUAGGUGGUGUUCGCAAUAACCAUGAAACUAGAUUUGGGAAGUUCAGCAGGGGUCGAGAAGACUGUUCUCCAUCUUAAAGCUCACACCCUUCAAAGUAUUGACUCUGGCAAAAGCCACAUGAUAGUCAUAUUAGUGGUAGGAGUAUUUUGGUGAAGGUCUAUGUUGGGAGAUGAUUUUUGUGCGCAAACAAGGUUGUUGUUAUGUGGUAGAAGGCAGACAGUAGUUGAAGGGGUUUUGGUUCUGAUUUUCAUUUAUUUUACAUUUUUAUUUUGAAUUUCCGAUAUUUUCA